rnacentral:sRNA from 1 species
GGCUUCCGUCAGUUAUCUAUAA